AGCAGCCGCGGUAAUUCCAGCUCCAAUAGCGUAUAUUAAAGUUGUUGCAGUUAAAAAGCUCGUAGUUGAAUUUCGGAGUUUGUCGGUUGGUCGGGCUUCACUGUCCGCACUGGCCUGAUGGAUUCCUACCUUCUGAAUAACCAGCAUGCUAUUAAUUUAGUGCGUUGGGGAAGCAGAGCUAUUACCUUGAAAAAUUAGAGUGCUUAAAGCAGGCUUACGCUUGAAUAGAUUAGCAUGGAAUAAUAAAAUAGGACGGCUUGGUUCUAUUUUGUUGGUUUCUAGGAUCACCGUAAUGAUUAAUAGGGAUAGUUGGGGGCAUUAGUAUUCAAUUGUCAGAGGUGAAAUUCUUGGAUUUAUUGAAGACUAACUUCUGCGAAAGCAUUUGCCAAGGAUGUUUUCAUUAAUCAAGAACGAAAGUUAGGGGAUCGAAGACGAUCAGAUACCGUCGUAGUCUUAACCAUAAACUAUGCCGACUAGGGAUCGGACGAUGUAAUUUUUUAAUGACUCGUUCGGCGCCUUA
rnacentral:rRNA from 1 species